rnacentral:rRNA from 1 species
CCUACGGGUGGCAGCAGUGAGGAAUAUUGGUCAAUGGGCGGAAGCCUGAACCAGCCAAGUCGCGUGAGGGAGUAAGGCCCUACGGGUCGUAAACCUCUUUUGCCGGGGAGCAGUGCCCAGCUCGUGAGCUGGGAGGGAGCGUACCCGGAGAAAAAGCAUCGGCUAACUCCGUGCCAGCAGCCGCGGUAAUACGGAGGAUCCGAGCGUUAUCCGGAUUUAUUGGGUUUAAAGGGAGCGUAGGUGGAUUGUUAAGUCAGUUGUGAAAGUUUGCGGCUCAACCGUAAAAUUGCAGUUGAAACUGGCAGUCUUGAGUACAGUAGAGGUGGGCGGAAUUCGUGGUGUAGCGGUGAAAUGCUUAGAUAUCACGAAGAACUCCGAUUGCGAAGGCAGCUCACUGGACUGCAACUGACACUGAGGCUCGAAAGUGUGGGUAUCAAACAGGAUUAGAUACCCCAGUAGUC